rnacentral:rRNA from 1 species
UACGUAGGUGACAAGCGUUGUCCGGAUUUACUGGGCGUAAAGCGUGCGCAGGCGGUUCGCUAAGACCGAUGUGAAAUCCCCGGGCUUAACCUGGGAACUGCAUUGGUGACUGGCGGGCUAGAGUAUGGCAGAGGGGGGUAGAAUUCCACGUGUAGCAGUGAAAUGCGUAGAGAUGUGGAGGAAUACCGAUGGCGAAGGCAGCCCCCUGGGCCAAUACUGACGCUCAUGCACGAAAGCGUGGGGAGCAAACAGG